rnacentral:sRNA from 1 species
GGAACACGGUGUUGAUAAGAGGCUGCGUAUCGACGAUGACAAAGAGAUCCAAAAUUACCCUCUGUAAUAACUUAUCUCCCCAUACAAGUUCUCUUUUUUAAAUCACUUGGCAAAUGUUUCCUAUCCCCGAUCUGAAACGUCAGCUUUUUCGCAGCCAGUUUCUUUCAUGGCUUCAUCUUCUAAAGAAUUGGCCUAUACAUCUUGUCAAUGGCCCGACAGAUCAUCUACACCUAAAAAAU